UACAGAGGGGGCAAGCGUUAUUCGGAAUUAUUGGGCGUAAAGGGCGCGUAGGCGGCUUUUCAAGUGACGGGUGAAAGCCCUCGGCUUAACCGAGGAACCGCCUGUCACACUGGGAGGCUAGAGUUCGGUAGGGGAGACUGGAAUUCCUGGUGUAGCGGUGAAAUGCGCAGAUAUCAGGAGGAACACCGGUGGCGAAGGCGGGUCUCUGGGCCGAUACUGACGCUGAGGAGCGAAAGCGUGGGGAGCGAACAGG
rnacentral:rRNA from 1 species